rnacentral:rRNA from 1 species
UACGUAGGGUGCAAGCGUUGUCCGGAAUUAUUGGGCGUAAAGAGCUCGUAGGCGGUUUGUCGCGUCUGCUGUGAAAACUCGGGGCUUAACUCCGGGCCUGCAGUGGGUACGGGCAGACUAGAGUGCGGUAGGGGAGACUGGAAUUCCUGGUGUAGCGGUGAAAUGCGCAGAUAUCUGGAGGAACACCGGUGGCGAAGGCGGCGAUCUGGCCCAACAUUGACACUGAGACCCGAAAGCGUGGGGAUCAAACAGG